rnacentral:siRNA from 1 species
AUAGUUGGCAUGUGUGACCAUGU